UAAUACAGAGGGGGCAAGCGUUGUUCGGAAUUACUGGGCGUAAAGGGCGCGUAGGUGGCCUUCUAAGUUGAACGUGAAAUCCCUGGGCUCAACCCAGGAACUGCGUCCAAGACUGGGAGGCUUGAAUCCGGGAGAGGGAUGCGGAAUUCCAGGUGUAGCGGUGAAAUGCGUAGAUAUCUGGAGGAACACCGGUGGCGAAGGCGGCAUCCUGGACCGGUAUUGACACUGAGGCGCGAAAGCCAGGGGAGCAAACGGGAUUAGAUACCCCGGUAGUCCUGGCCCUAAACGAUGAAUGCUUGGUGUGGCGGGUAUCGAUCCCUGCCGUGCCGAAGCUAACGCAUUAAGCAUUCCGCCUGGGGAGUACGGUCGCAAGGCUG
rnacentral:rRNA from 1 species